CAGUAGCCACGGUAAGACGAACCGCGCGAACGUUAUUCGGAAUCACUGGGCUUAAAGCGCGUGUAGGCGGGACGGCACGUCGACUGCUGAAAUCCCUCGGCUUAACCGAGGAAGUGGCAUCGAUACGACCGUCCUGGAGGAACGUAGGGGGACCUGGAACUUCCGGUGGAGCGGUGAAAUGCGUUGAGAUCGGAAGGAACGCCCGUGGCGAAAGCGAGGUCCUGGACGUUUUCUGACGCUGAGACGCGAAAGCUAGGGGAGCGAACGGGAUUAGAUACCCCCGUAGUCCCUGUCUCUUAUU
rnacentral:rRNA from 1 species